rnacentral:rRNA from 1 species
CCAAAUAGAGGUGAAUUUUUGUUAAUAAUUUUAUUGGAGCUUCCUUCUCCUGUAAGUUUAAAUCUAGCUAAAUAUAUAGGAUUUAUUUAGUGUAUAUAAAAUUAUAGAAUUAAUUAUAAAUUAUUUAGUAUAAAAAAUUUUUUAAACUAGCCAAACUAAUAAAGUAAAUAAAUGAUCUACUAGGUGCCAGCAUUCGCGGUUACACCUAUAUUUAAUAUAUCCCCACAUGGAAUAGGACCUCUUAAUUAAAAAUAAAAACAUUAGAAGUAAAAUUCUGCUUGUUUUUAAUAAAUAUAUAGGCACUCCUUAUAAAUUAACCAAUAAACAGGGAUUAGAUACCCCUUUAUAUAGAAUAAAUUUUCACCUAGGGUAGUAAAUGUUAUAUAACCCCAAACCCAAAGAUUUUGGCGGCAACCAACCUUUCCAGAGAGACCUGUUUAUUUAUUUGACACUCCGCAUUAAAUCUUACUUUUAUUAAAACUUGCAUACCGUCAUCUAAAUUUUAUCUUAAGAUAAAUAUUUUAAAGAUAACAAAAAUGUUAGAUCAACGCGCAGUAGAUAUAAAAGCUCUUAAUGGGUCUCAAUUUAAAUUAAAUAGAAAAAAAUUUAACAAUCUUUAGAAAGAGGAUUUGGAUGUAAUAAUUUUUUAAAAUAAUAUUAUGACUAAGCCAUUGAUUGUGCACAUAUCGCCCGUCGCCCUCGAUCCGAGGUAAGUCGUAACAUAGUAGAAGUACUAGAAAGUGUUUCUUUAUUUAC